GCUGAGUCCUAGUUUGCUAAUUUGUUUGUUGCAUUUAGCUGAAUAAAUUGAGCAGAAACAAGGAAUAUAGAAAAACAAUGCAGAACCAAGUCUCUCCGGAAGCCAAAAAUCCCACUUCUCAUCCCAGCCAUGAGGAAAAACCGCUUCAACUGUUGUCCCCACUUCAUCAAUUGGUUGAAGCCUUUCCAAGCAAUGGUUUUUCACAAUGAUAAGUAGAUAAUUGUAGUUGAUCCAGUUUCCAAAUGUCAGAAUGACCACUGCAUGCGUUAUGGAAGACUGGAAGUGGUUGAAUAUCUCCUAGAAAGUGUGACGAUCAUGACGGUGAGAAAGCACUUGGCCAGCAAUUUGGUUUUGGACCUCAUGGUGUCAAGAGGUGAGGUGGCGCCUCCAAUAUGGUUUCCCUUCGUGUUUACCUCUCUGCCCCCCCCUCCCAUUGCAUCAAAGUGAGAACGAAACGAAAACAAUAUUCCCUUGGAUUGCAAUAGGUUGCAGCUGACCACAAGUGUCUUUUGCAUUUCAACAAAUAGCGCUCUGCAAACACUGCGAGGGUCGACCAGGACUAACUCACUGAGGAAGAGGUCCCUUGUGGAAAAGGGAUAUGUGGCUGCCUUCACUGCCCCAUUUGGCCGUGGGUGGAGCGGGAUAGCUGUACAAGGCGCCGCAAUACGGUCAAACGGAUGGUUGAUUGCGUCAAGUAAGGCAUAAAAGGCAUUAGAUGCCACGUGCAUAUUAAGAGGGCCUGGCAUCCCCGUCCAUUUUCCAGUGGUUUAUGCCUUAACCAAGAGGGGAAAGCCUGGAUAAAUUGAUAUUCGCCUCGAAUGGCGACCCUCGAACCCAGAAUGGACCUUCCAACAACCAAAGAUGUCAUCAUGAACUGUACAUACAAUCACAUAUCGUAUAUUCAAAUGUCUGUAUCCAAUGAGACUUGCAUCUCACAAUAAAGAAUUUAAAAAAAAAAUAUCAGCGUGAGUUUAUCGAUGCAAUUGACCUCACGUUGAGUU